UUUUGUUUUAUUUAACUUGCCAGUUGUUCUUUGUUUAUAUACCUAUUACACAUUUGCAUAAGUUUUUGUGUAUAAUAAUUAUUAUUAAUAAUAAUUUAAUUGUUGUAAUUAUAACCAUGGUUUAUAAUCUCCUCCGACUCUCUAUAUCCAAUUUCCUGCUCCGCGUUUACUAUAUGUCCCCGCCUCCAUAUCAUCAAUGCGCUUAUGUCGCCCCAUCAGCGACGCCCAGUUUUUAAUUUUAUUUUCAGUUUUAUUUUAAUUUUUAUUUUUUUUUGGCAAACGAAACAAAAUGUACACUGCUUGCCCAUAUUUUGAAACUGGCAAUAAUUAAUUAAUACUAGGGUGGUUGAUAUUUCUGUUAUUACGAUUUAUACCUCCAUCUCAUCUUAUUGUUAGCCUUUCGCCGCACUCUGGAUCUAACUAAUCUGCCUUUGCUCCUUCCUACUGUUUGGUUAUGGUUGGAUCAGUGUGCUCCGGAUUAUGGGAGAUCUUAGGUCUUGAAGCAGAUUGAUCGUAAAUGAACCUGUUUGGGUGUCUAGGAUGGUGGCGGCAUCUUUAAUCGAUCGGUAGUUAUUGUUACUGUAGUAUGUACUCAUCUAUUAUUAUGCUGGGUUUAUUUAUGUUGUAUCCUGCAGUAAGUCGCAUAAAUAAUGUUUAAAAUAUACUUCUGGUAAUAAUGCUUUAAGUAUUAAAAUAUUUAUAGUUUUGUUCAUAAUUAAUUAAUAGUUUUCUUGUUCGAUAGCAUUUACUUGUGUUGUGGGCUUUCAACCGAUUUCCGCGUGACAAUGCAUCGCGGAAAAGGCCGAUUGAGUAUAUAUAGAUAUAUAUCUGUAUUGUUUUUUCGGUGUUUACUUUCAUCCUUUUGUUUUAAUGAACGAAUGCACAAUUUUACACACUUCGCCAUUCUGGUUUCAUUAUUCAUAGAUUGUAUUUAAUGUACACAUAUGUAUAGUAUAUAGCGUAUAUUUCUAUAAAUAGUUAUAUAAAGACCUUUUUGUUGCUAUUAUAAAUGAUUUACUUAAUUGUUCUUCACUUCUGCUCCACUUUGUUUUCGAUCAACUACUUUUGACUAUUACAUCAUUUUGACAUUACAUCAUCGUCCCCGUUAGUUCGGCAUUCUAUGUGUGUAAAUAUAAAUUUUGUCAUAUUUAAUAUAAGUGCUCUUCAAAAAUCUCAAAUAAUGGAUUGUUGUAAUCAUUGCUAAGUAAUUGUAUUUGUGUGGACUUGGUUUUGGGAUCGGAAAAGACGGAUGUAAUUACAUACAUAAAUCUGGAGCAAUCGCAAAUCAUUCAUAAUUGAGGAUAAGUUACCAAAAUCAAACCACAUGCCGUUUUGCUUACGUGUGUGUGAGUGUUUGUGUGCUUGCAUAAUGCUAAAUACGGACGGAUUUCUAAACGGAAAGUAUAUAGAGUGUACAAAGAAGCUGUAGCUAUAGUACUGCAUCUGAGAAAUAGUUUCUGAAACGCAUCUCAAGCUACACUCAAAAAAUUCCAAGUGUUAUAUGUAUGUGUCCUUCGGAUGUGUUGAUGCUAAAAUCUAGACUAGCAACUAAUUUUGUUUUUCAAUAAUAUGCAAUAAUUCAACCCCUUGGUUCGGGUUUCUGUUUGAGGGGCUUUAUACUAUAUACAAUAUAAAUUCGCUUUGACCAUUUGGUUUUAUUCGAUUAGCCUGCUGCCAACUGCAUGAGUUAUUCAUACAUAUCUCUGCAUCUCGUACCUCGAUCUAACAUUUGGCUAAGUACUAAAAGAUAACAGUUUUAUCUACAAAAAAUAACUUUUGGGCCUUUUCAACGCCAAUAUCUCCAGCCGUACACCUAUUCCUCUCCCAUAUCAUUCCAUCCGAUUCGGUUUGUAUAAUUGCAAAAUUGGUUUAUAAUGCUUGGUUGACCUUAGCUCGCUAAUAAAUCUUUCUUUGUUCAUAGUAAUAGUAAUAAUUGUCAUAAUAAUAGUAUUAUAAUAUAUCGUCUAUAUAAGUACGACUAGUUUCUGCAUUUAAAAAUGUUUAAAUUUCUCCUUCUCCUUCUCAUUUUGUUUUCAUAUUUUUUGUUGUUGUAUUUUAAAUGCACUUUCUGAGCUUUCUUACAAGCGCCGCCAAUUAUUGUUGCUGUUUUUGUUAUAUUCCUAUGGCUACUAUAGCCUUUCCAUUUCCCAACUAUGCCCUUGGUUGAUGAUACUCUAAAGAUCUAACCCUAUGCCUAUCCAAGCGAAAUCUAGUUGGUAAGCAAAGCUUCAAAAGUGUGUCUCGAGCUUAAAAAUAUCGUAUCGAAAAAAGUGCGGAAGCUUUGAGGGAAAUUAUAGUACAAAUGAAUUGAAAUGCAUUGGUUCAAUACGAAAUGAUCAUAGUUAUUUGAUAAGUUUAGUUGCUAUUUAUAUUUAACUGCAUGUAUUACCCUGUAUCCAAUAUGUCAUUCUUGUGAUUCUAUUAAAACCAAACCAAAAAUGCGCUAUAUCAAAGGCAAAAUGUGUUAGGCUUGGCAAAAAGAUAUGCACCCUACCCUUUUCAUCCUACCUAUCGAUCCUACAUUCCUUGUCCUGCUGCCAUCUUGGGCCCUUGUAACUGUGUCUCUGUGUUGGUUGGAGUGUUGAUUGGGUGUCCUUGUAGGUGUAGUUAGAAAACUAGUGUAUGCAAUUUUGGUAAGUCCUUGGUUAUGGUGGGGUUAAGUGCUUGUCUCUAUCGUUAUUUAUCGUUAUCGUUAGCAUUAGUUUAGUUUUACCAUUACGUUUACUUCCUUUUAAAUACCUGCAGAAAAGUGUAUCUAAAUAUAUUUUUGAUUAGUAAGUUCUAAACUUGGACUCCAGUGUUUUUGGUUGUUUCAUGUUCUUUUGUUUCCGUGUCAGUGUUGUAAGCUUCAUUCACUACUUUGUCUAACCUUGUCAUUAACUAGUAUAUAAUAUAUUUGUGUAUAGUAGAUAUAAUAAAUAAAGAAGUUAGUUUUUAUUAGUAAUGCCUUGUAUAGAGUAAUAAACAUUCUAUAAGAAUGCCACAUUCCGCAUCUUGUAUAAUAAAAAUACAUUAUGCGUAGGACAAAAUCUAUUCGCAUAAUAGAUUAAGUUUAAGGAACGAUCAUCGAUAAGAGACUUCAUUUUCAUUAGUAAUGUACAAUGCUUAUUCUUAGUUUAGCGCUACUCUUAGCUGGCUACAAACGGAAAAAGGAAUUUAAAAACGAUCGAAGAAAUCAGGAGGAAAUGCAAUGCCAUUGGGGUCCCUUCUCUUUGCCGCCAGCUAAACAAAUUGAGAAUCGCCGAGAAGACCGCCAAGUUAUAGACUACCGUUCGCAUAUCCGCGUACUUGAUAUGAUGCGUGUGUAUGUGGUGGUGAGUUCGUUGUGUGAGUGUGCGUACAAUUGAGAGAUAGUGAAGACGCGGAGUAUGACGACGCUAAAUGCAGAUUGUAGCUCAAAAGGAUGUUUUCUGGCACUAAACUGGAUUUUGGCAAAAAUUGCAAAGAAAUGUGCCAAUUUUCAUAUCCCCUCAAGCGAGAUGGGCGAAACCUGUCCAUUUUUUUUAGUUAUGUGCUUGUUAUCUAUGGUUUAUGUCUAGGAAUACUUUAAUUUUUACGAGUUCCAAUUUUUACACUUUAUGCUCAAGGUACAAUUGUCUUUUUCUAUUCGUUAAGUUUAAUAUGAAUUCGACAUGUUUUUUUUUGUUAAUUAUUUAAUUAGCUUUCUUGUUUCUCGUUUUUUGUUUGCUUUCAUCACAUUUCAUUUCGAAUUUGAAUUAAGCGACUUAAUUGUUCCUUUAUAUUGUAUUUUUAUUCGUUUAUCGAUUUAAUUUUGAUUUGGCUUUAGUGGUUUCUUGUUAUCACCGCUCUUUAAAAUGAUCAUUCAAAUCAAACUAAGCGCAAACGAUAAAUAAAUUUGAUUUUGUUCACAUUUUUUGUUAAAUGUUCGUGUCACAGCCCUUUCGUGUUUUGGUUUUUGUUUUUUAGUUUAUCAAAAUAUACUUAAGGGAGAACAUGGGUAAACGAUAUUCAAAUUUAAGGGUAGGGUAUUAUGCCAAAUUCUCAGUCCUCUGUUUCGGGUUGGGAUUAUGUGUUCUGGAGGUAUGUGACCUAGUCUGUCCUGGUAUCUGCCAAUUGAAAUGAAUCAAAAGCCGGAUGUCACAGACGCGUAAAAUAAUGAGAAAAUAAAACAAGUUUGGUUGCUUUGUAUUUUGGUUUUUCAAUUUGUUUUCUCUUUUAUUUGUUCUGCUUCUCUUGGUUUAGUUUAGUUUAUUGUGUGUUAUGCUUUAAAAAUAAUAGUUACGAUAAUUUAGGGUUUUAGUAUCCUUCCUCUUGGUAUAUAAUUUGCAUAAUUUUGCCAAAAUCAGUUUAGCACAAAAUGUAUUAUUUUGCUUGAUUCCGUAUGUUUCAUAGUAUAGUGUAUAUGAUCUAAAAAUGUUUGUAUAAUAGCAUAUAAUAAUAAUAAUUAUAAUUGUAAUAAUAAUUCUUUAUAUAUUAAUUUAAAUACUUGUGUUCGUAUUUUCAAUACAUAGAUAAAUCAUAAUUCGUUAAUCAUAAUCAUAGUACAUAAUAAUAGUAAAUUAUUAUUAUCUCAAUAGUUUGACUUGGUUUUUAAAUUUCUUAUUCUUCAUUAAGGUUUAAUUUUCUUUAUGCAAUAAUUAACUUGAAUUUGACUAGAUCGAUUCAUACAAGAUCGUAAAUACAUGUAGCGUGUUCGUGUAUUUGGAUGAGUUUUUCUGAAGUAAAAUUCUAGUUUAGCAUUUUAAUUCAAAGCUGUCAAAAUUCUUGAGUGUCUCUGGCUGAACUACUUUUGAAUAGGCGCUAAAAUCAGUUUGAUAAUUUUCAUAUAUGUUAUGUACUUGUAUGUUUGUAGGUAUUUAAAUAUACUUGUAUGCAUGUGUCGUUAAAUAACUGCCAUUUCAUUCGUUUCUCUCAGUGUGGGACUUUCAUCCGCCUUAGGUUUCAUUUUCUAUAUUUACAAUAUUACUCCUGUCGAGGCUUAACAUUUUCUGAUUCAAAAGAGGAAUAAAAUUGAACUGAUUUAAUUGAUUUGACAUUAAUUAUAAUAUUUCCCCUCACUCUGGCCCGUCUGUAUUCCUAUGUAUUUGCCCAGAUUUCUAAUACUGUCUCAGUGAUCCGAUUGACAAUACA
rnacentral:sRNA from 1 species